rnacentral:rRNA from 1 species
GACGAACGCUGGCGGCGUGCUUAACACAUGCAAGUCGAACGAUGAAGCUAGAGCUUGCUCUGGUGGAUUAGUGGCGAACGGGUGAGUAACACGUGAGUAACCUGCCCCGAACUCUGGGAUAACUGCUGGAAACGGUAGCUAAUACCGGAUAUGACCAAUGAAGGCAUCUUCUGUUUGUGGCAAGAAUUUCGGUUCGGGAUGGACUCGCGGCCUAUCAGCUUGUUGGUUAGGUAACGGCUAACCAAGGCGACGACGGGUAGCCGGCCCGAGAGGGUGAUCGGCCACACUGGGACUGAGACACGGCCCAGACUCCUACGGGAGGCAGCAGUGGGGAAUAUUGCACAAUGGGCGCAAGCCUGAUGCAGCAACGCCGCGUGAGGGACGACGGCCUUCGGGUUGUAAACCUCUUUUAGUAGGGAAGAAGCGAAAGUGACGGUACCUGCAGAAAAAGCACCGGCUAACUACGUGCCAGCCGCCGCAGUAA